GGGGACACAGACAAAGGCCAGCACUGCCUUUGCGUUGCUACGUGUGCAGCACUGCUCCGACCAAUGAGCAAUGCAACCGGAAUAACCAAACCUGCCCGCCAUUGGAGAACCGCUGUUUGACCAUCAUAGACAUUCGAGGCUCUUCCAGGACCAUCUCCAAACAGUGUGCCACCCCGUCCACCUGCACGGGGGGUUGUGACCACAUCGGGGCUGGACGCGAACGGUGACGGCGUCCUGGCAGAAUGCUGCAGAAACAGUAACCUCUGUAAUGUCAACGGGGCCGGUAGCAUCUCCGCCCGC
ensembl:lncRNA